AUGGAGGACUCCAUGAACACGCACGAUGAGCGGCAAUGGACGGGCCUCGAGGAGACGAUGGCCCUCUUUGCGGCCGGCAACGUCGCCAUCUCCGAGCUGGAGAUGGUGGCGGUGGAGGAGGUGAUGGAGGAGGCGCCGGUGGUUGCGUUCCACCCGGGCCUGGUGGGCCAGCAGUGGAGCUGGUCUUGCACAGCUCCGGAGUUGGCAGACGCCGUGGGGGGCGUGAACUGGUACCCCACGCCGCCGCGGUCACCAGAGUGGGAGGCGUCGCCACGGGAGGAGGUGGUGCAGGCACCUGCCGCCUUCCAGCCCGCCCUCAUCUACCACGCACCGCCGGCCCACCUCUGGACGCCGUCGGACUACGUCGACCUCGUCAGCGACGACGACGACACUGGCGGCCACUAA
rnacentral:rRNA from 1 species